CCUACGGGAGGCAGCAGUGAGGAAUAUUGGUCAAUGGGCGGAAGCCUGAACCAGCCAAGUCGCGUGAAGGACGACUGCCCCAAGCGUUGUAAACUUCUUUUGUCAAGGGACAAAAUCAGGCUCGUGUGCCUGACCGAAGGUACUUUAAGAAAAAGCAUCGGCUAACUCCGUGCCAGCAGCCGCGGUAAUACGGAGGAUGCGAGCGUUAUCCGGAUUUAUUGGGUUUAAAGGGUGCGUAGGCGGGCUGUUAAGUCAGCGGUAAAAGUCCGGGGCUCAACCCCGGCGAGCCGUUGAAACUGGCUGUCUUGAGAAGACGAGAGGUAUGCGGAAUGCGUGGUGUAGCGGUGAAAUGCGUAGAUAUCGCGAAGAACACUGGUGGCGAAGGCAGGUUACUGGACAGCAACUGACGCUGAGGCACGAAGGCGAGGGUAUCGAACGGGAUUAGAUACCCGGGUAGUC
rnacentral:rRNA from 1 species